GGGGUUUUUAUAAGGUUUUUGACAUGCUUAACUAACUAUUCUUAUGCAUUAAAGUUUGAAUUGCUGACUCUUGCUACUCUUACCAGUGCUCAGGGCCUAACCAUGAAUAUCAGCCUGAAAUGUGUGUGUGUUAAAGAGAGCGCUGUACUGUAUGAAAUAUGUGUGUGUAUGCAACAAAUGUAUCAGUAGUGUGGGCGCUGUACUAUGUGACCGAGACUGUGCUAAUCUUAGAGAGACACAGGAGGGGGGUGAAUCAGGAGACUGCUGAAUAGACAAUAACAGAUAAACUAUACACACGAAAAACAUGUGAGGUUCUGAGUUAUGCACUAUAACCCAAUACUAUAACAAACGUGAUUAGCAACUAUAUCAUAUGUGAUUGAAUAUUGUAUUGUAUGUGAUUGAAUACUAUAACAAAUGUGAUUUGAUAUUGACAAACUGUUUGAGCGCCUGGAUGUCUGUGUGUGUGUGCUGGAAGUAACAGUUAGCUCAGAUAAGAAGCUGGGAAGCUGUAGUUAGCCUUGAGCGAGAACAGAGGACAAUGCAUACAGGUGCAGAUAUCUCAGACAAUGUUAUAAAACUGUCUGACCUCAGUCUUUGGGGUGAAGGAGCGUAAUCUACACAGCAACAGUAUCGGGACAUCAUAUGCGCUAAGGGGCCAGGACUGGCUUAAGGUGCCAACAUCAACGAUAGGCUGGGUGAGUCUAAACCACGCCCAGUCUCUACUCUGACAGGCCGGCUCGGAAGCGGGAAACAAUCUCUGUCACGAGUAUAAAAUAUUAUCUUUGUCAGAAACAAAUCAGUUCUCUGUCUUAUCCUGCGUGAUGAAACAUUGAACCCGUAUAUACGGAAAUUGUAUUUGCCAUUUAUUAACUUUUGAAUUAAACAAUUAUUUUAACCAAGUUCAGGUGUUCCUAUCUCAGUUGAACUUUCGCAACCCUAACAAAUGGUGACCCCGACGUGAUCUGAGGGAACUUCGCUGGACAUUGAGGCAUCCAGCCUUUGGCCUAGACUGUCGCCAGAUGGGGUCCUCUCACAAAAAGCCCGGGUCUACUAAAAAACAGGUAAGCAGAGCCUAUUGUUUCAAAACUGAAAUUCUGCAUAUUGGACUUAACCAAAUUUAUUUUGUGAGAAAACCUAACUGGUGUAAGUUGCUAAAUUUUGAACCAUAUGUUCACCACAACAAAGUAAGGAUAAAACUAACUACGUAUUAUUUAAUUACGUACUACUUGAUGGCGAAUGCAUUUUCAAUUGGCCAACAGAAUGACAAUGGAAUGACUGUGUGUAUGACGUGAUAUUAAAAGCCUGUUUGUGUGUGUGUAUGUAUCUAAGCUAGGGUUGUUUUAUUAAAAGUCUUAUAUAUAAGACUUUAGGGAAGUGAUUGAGGACAAUGGCCACAUAACCACCGUGAAUGGCGGAAUAUUGGAAAUAAGACAAGUUCUAAUAAUUGAACGGCAAUAUACCGGGUUCACGGAUUUUUAUGUAUUUACAUGGUAUGUGGGAUAUAAGACAAAUUGUCGAUUAAUAAGUCUAGGUGGACCCUCGACUAAAAGUGGACGGCAACAUAGUCCAGGGGAAGGCAGAAGUAUUGGAUAUAAGACAAGUCUAGGUGGACCCUCGACGGCAAUACACUGUAUAAGACAAGUCCCCUGUUACAAGUAAACGGCAAAGCGUUGGUGAAGAGAGGUUAGGUUAUAUGCGCAAAUGAUCUAACGGCAAUGUUUUGGAGAUAAGACAAGUUUACUGAUUGAAAAAGACGUGUUGGAUAUAAGACAAGUCACACUGUAUGUCUGUUGCUUUAUGAUUGUAUCCCUCUGUAUGUACUGUAUCAGGCUUUUAUGUGAAGGGGAGUAAGGACAUAUAUACAUAACGUAACCAUAUAUACUCAAGUUACACAUUAACCACAGACUAUAAUCUCACAUUAUUUGUCACGGACACUCUAGUCUAACUAGGUAAUAACAGAUAAAAACAAAAAUUAUAAAACAAAAGUUAUAAUAAGAAACUAAUAUGGCUCAAAUUGAGUAGGUUGAAUGAGAGUGGGUGGAGAGCUGUACAGAGAAUGGACAGAAGAUGGCAGUAUUGCAGCGCUCAGCGUGCUCCCAGUCGACGGGGAGCCUGUUUGAGUGCUGGUCACAUAACAGAAAACUUAAAAACAAUUCGGAGUAGAGAGAAUACAGUUAAUAACUUAUUUAGGUUAAAUUUUGGUACGUUUACACUUUGGAGUAGAGAAAGUUGAGAAGUUGAUUUUACUUAUACGAUAGUUUUGAUGCAAAACUCAGUUGGAGUAAGUAGAUGUUUUGCCUAGAGGCAUGAAUAAGACAGUUAGUUUUGGUAUUGUAUCUACUAAUCAGUGUAUGUUGCUGGAGACAGGAUGAUUUGUUUUGUAACGACGUAAAAUAACGUCACUAGGGGGGAUACACGAUUACGUUACUCGAAUGGAUUUGGUCAUUGUUCAGGUACACUAUUUCCUUUACUUCUUGCAGUAUAGUUUUGAUUAAGAGAUGUUGAUUGACGUUGUAUAUUCUAUUCAAGAUCCAACCUUUGUGAUAAAUUGGGUUUGGUUUAUCGAAUCCGUACUAUUGCCUGUUGCAGUUAGUUAACAGUGAGAGAAAAUGUGUGUUUGCGUUCACUUUUCAAAAGUGGCUAAAAGUUAUUGGUUUUUGUUUAGGUAACACCAGGGAUUUCGAACAAAAAGUAAACGUAGUCUAAACGUGAUCUGUUUUCAUUAUGGUGAACAAUGACCGGCCCGCAAACUGGUAUGGCUGGCUGGGAAUUUUUAAAGGGACAGUACACGUUUAUCACAGUUGUGUGAAUGAGUUACAUGAAACAUCGGGGAAAUUUAAAACGAAUGAUUUGAGGGUAUUAUCAUAAUUAUUAGUUUUUGUUUUUGUGGUAAACGUUUGGGUUAAGGGGUUUUCCAUGUUCCCGAGAGACAAGAUAAUAUUAGGAGUUUUACUUUCUGAGUUUUAUUUAGACAAGGGAUUUUUUAAGAUAAAGGGUUCUUUUGAUAUGUCUAGACAUGGGAUGGAACACGAAUGUAGGUGUAACCUUUUUGACCUAUUUUCGUUGCAUUUUCCUGUGAUUUGAUCACUCACAGGGAAAUGUAGUGAGAGUAAUGCAAUUGUGGUCAUUUGGGAAUACUAGUUCUGAGGUAAAUUGAUUAUAAUAGAGUUUAUAACUCUUGAACAUAAUUGUAGUUUGAACCACUGAGGAGUCAGGAUUCUGUUUUUAAACAUUGGUUAUGAAGGUUUUGAAUUGGCUAUUAUUGUUUUGGUAUUACAGCAGAAAAAAUCCCAUUUGUCAUCGAUAAUAAAUAUGGGAUGAUAUGAUACAUUGAGGUUUGAACAGGAGAUAUUUUAAGCCAAUAGGGCAGGAAAGUAAUAGGUUUCAGUUCUUAGAGGAGUGAUCCUGGGGGGAGAGAGCUUAUUUAAAUAGUAAGGACUUUAGAGAUUGACACUAUAAGACAUGUUGUUGUUAUUUUUAAAUCCAUGAUAAAGUCAAAAGUGAGACACUUAGUUAAUAUUUAUUAGAAAAAGGCAGACAGAUGGGUCUACCCCGCACUGUUGAGACCUUGAAGGUUUGAGAGCAGAGUGGGGAGGGGGGACCAGGAAAUGAGCAAGGUAGGCUGUAAAAUAAGAUAGGACAGAAGGGGGUUAACAUAUAUAAGCAGCACAGAUACAUUUUAAAGUAGAUAAGUCACUUGACAGAGAAUUGGAAAAGUAUAGAUAUGAAUGGACGCCCAAGGUACAAUUGGACAUGUGGAAAAUGAAAGGGGCGUUCCUGUUGUAUAAUGUAGAACAUAAGAAUAUUUUACUACUCAUAAUUAAGUCCUUAUUUAGAGUAGGUAAGGUUGUUACCUGGCCAGAGCCAGGUAUCAAACGGGGGAGGGGUACAUUGUGGACUAGGAUAGGAUGGGGCCUAUUGGAUAAUAAACUAAUAAAAAAAAAAUAUAUAUAUAUAAAAAAAAAAAAAAUUCUAGCUAAUAAAUAGGCAUAGAAGUUAAAUAUAUAAUCAGAUAGAACAAAUGACAAACUGUUUGUUAACCAAACCUGUAUGUCCAAGAUUUUAUGCACUACAGGUGAAUUACAGGUGAACUCACUCAAUCCAGUCCCUGAGGCCUGUUGGGGGGACCAUACCAAGGACUCCUGGUAACAGCUAGCUGAAGUAGCUACCCGGAUUCAUAUCACACUGCGGGAGGGUAAGACACAUUGACACUGUCGAACAAGCACAGUGUCCGAGAGGAGAACUGGAAUUAACAGAAUUCUGGGGGCCAUCUCUCGGAUGAAAAUUUCCUUUUCCCGUCAUUCCAUCCCUGUGUUUGUUCAUAGAAGUGAAAGUGUGUCUGGCUUCUUGCUGAUGAUGUGUUCUCUGGGAGAGGGUGGGGCUUUACAGGAUUGCUUGUGGUCCUGAGUUGUCUGUUUAGGAUACGAUGGGGAUGUUGCCAUCACAGUACUGCCAGAACCACCACCAGUUCCAACAGACCAGGUUCAGCCGGCCUCCUCCACCACUUCAAGACCAAGUCCCACACCACCACCUAAGCUCUCCAAUCUGGUACAGAAGUCCGUCCCCAGAAGACACCAUGGGGGUUAAGGCAUAUGGGGGAUAUUACAGCUGUAACACUGGUACAGGUAGAGGUAUGGACUAUGGGAGGUUCCCUGCUGCUGCCUGCAUCACUAAUGUCACUAUUAACUAGAGGUGUUGCUGAUGUAUGGUGGAUGUGAGGACCUGCCAGGCGGUUGACCCCAAUUUUGAAAGGAGAUUGUCAGGGAACAUGUGUUUUGGCCAGUCUGAUAAACACCAUUGCCUAUUAUUGAGGUUACAGCUGACCAACUUUUGGGAGCUGCACAUGACAGAGGCUUGGGACCAACCCAGGAGACGGCAGAAACGUGACGCUCCUUGGUCCGAGGGAACAGAUAACAUCCACACCAACCUGUUGGGGUCCCAAUAGGGGUUCCCCACGAAUUCCAGACAUUAAACAGGAAUGAUGGCCUGUGGCAUUUAUUGCCCAUUAUUGGCCCAGCUAUUGUUGAUGCUAAACAGAAUGCCUGGAUCAAUUAUAUCUGGUAUAAUCAACAAUGAUUUGUUAACUACACCCACACUGCACUUACAGGGAUAGCUGAACAAUUGGAUGCCACCUCGUAGACAAAAUAGACUAGCACUAGACAUGAUUCUGGCCAACCAGGGGGGUGUUUGUAAAAUGUUUGGAGAACAAUGUUGCACGUUUAUCCCUAACAAUACCAGUCUGGAUGGGAGCAUUUCAAAAGAUCUGAGCGGGUUGGAGAAGUUAUCUGUGGAGAUGAAGGAUCUUGCAGGUGUGGAGGAGAGUGGACUGUUCUCCUGGCUGGGUGGUUGGUUUGGUGAGUGCACUGUAUCGAUGGUUACUGGAUUUCUGACCCUAAUUGUAUUUUGCUAUGUUUUCUGUUGUGCUGCUUGCAUUUUACCUUGUGCCAAGAAAUCUAUUGCAGAUGCUGCUAAGGCCUCUGGCAUGAUGCCCCUGCUUGCGGCUAGUGGGGAGGAUGCUGAGACCAAUGAACAGAUGGGGUUGACUGAGGGUGACCCAUGGUUUGCUGUAAAAGAGGUUUAUCCUCAAUCAUUCGUUAUAAUAAUAACACUGUUCUCCCUAAGAAGGUUAUAAGUUCCUGGGUGGUAACGAGCCCACCUAGUAUAUGGAAAAGGGAUGGAAUUUUUAUUGGUUGUGACACCUUACAGGUGUCAAACGGGGGAAUCAAAAAUAAAAAUGUCAAUCAAAAAUGUUUAAGUAAUAAAAAUGUCUAUGUUAAUCAAAAAUUGUUUAUGUUGACACCUAUAGGUGUCAAACGGGGGAUUGUGGGGUUUUUAUAAGGUUUUUGACAUGCUUAACUAACUAUUCUUAUGCAUUAAAGUUUGAAUUGCUGACUCUUGCUACUCUUACCAGUGCUCAGGGCCUAACCAUGAAUAUCAGCCUGAAAUGUGUGUGUGUUAAAGAGAGCGCUGUACUGUAUGAAAUAUGUGUGUGUAUGCAACAAAUGUAUCAGUAGUGUGGGCGCUGUACUAUGUGACCGAGACUGUGCUAAUCUUAGAGAGACACAGGAGGGGGGUGAAUCAGGAGACUGCUGAAUAGACAAUAACAGAUAAACUAUACACACGAAAAACAUGUGAGGUUCUGAGUUAUGCACUAUAACCCAAUACUAUAACAAACGUGAUUAGCAACUAUAUCAUAUGUGAUUGAAUAUUGUAUUGUAUGUGAUUGAAUACUAUAACAAAUGUGAUUUGAUAUUGACAAACUGUUUGAGCGCCUGGAUGUCUGUGUGUGUGUGCUGGAAGUAACAGUUAGCUCAGAUAAGAAGCUGGGAAGCUGUAGUUAGCCUUGAGCGAGAACAGAGGACAAUGCAUACAGGUGCAGAUAUCUCAGACAAUGUUAUAAAACUGUCUGACCUCAGUCUUUGGGGUGAAGGAGCGUAAUCUACACAGCAACAGUAUCGGGACAUCAUAUGCGCUAAGGGGCCAGGACUGGCUUAAGGUGCCAACAUCAACGAUAGGCUGGGUGAGUCUAAACCACGCCCAGUCUCUACUCUGACAGGCCGGCUCGGAAGCGGGAAACAAUCUCUGUCACGAGUAUAAAAUAUUAUCUUUGUCAGAAACAAAUCAGUUCUCUGUCUUAUCCUGCGUGAUGAAACAUUGAACCCGUAUAUACGGAAAUUGUAUUUGCCAUUUAUUAACUUUUGAAUUAAACAAUUAUUUUAACCAA